rnacentral:lncRNA from 1 species
AUGAUGGGAGAAAUGGCCUUCGGCGACCCCAGAGCCCCGCAGAGAGCAGUGAUGGAUCACUCAGUAUUGGAGGAGACAGGAAGGGUGUCCUCCUGGGAGGGAGUGGGUGCAGGGGAGACGGCUUUUAACCCUCUGGGAGCCAGAGGCUCAGCUGAGUCUGGCAAGGAGGUGGGAACUUCCACCCCCGGGGGUCAGAUGAGGAAACUGAGGCACGGGGACGCUCCUAGCUGUGAAAGGGAGCGGACUCUGAGACUGGACCUCCCAAGCACCUGGUGCGCCCACUCAGCCUCAACCCUGCGCAUCUGCAGAAGAGGGAGGGAGAGGAGGACGCCGGAAGGAGGGGUCGUGCGCGGAUCCGGAUCCCGGAGAGGGAGCGCCGGGGCCCGACUGUCCGACUUCCCAGCGCGGAGCCGGGCCGCUCCUCCAACUGGAGGGCCCUCCCCCUCCUCGGCACGUCCAAAGCCUCAGCAUCCCCAAAGGCCCCGAGGGACGCCUCCGGCCCCCGGCUGCCUCCUUUCCGGCGGCCGCUCCCCGGCCGCACCCCUGGGGGCCCGGGGCGAGCAGGGCCGGGCGGCGAGGCCUCCCGCGACGAUCCCGCGACCCCAGACACGGCGGCGCGACUCGCCCAAGGUCGCAGCGCGGCGCAGGCGAAGCCGGCACUCGGACCCCGCUCUCGCCCCCGCGGUCGCCCCCUCCCACCGCGGCCCCGGGCCGGGCGGGGCUGCCCCGAGGGCUCCGGGGCGGGCGCACUCCCCUCGCGGGCCGGGGCUCAACUUCGGGGCGCAGUCACGGGGAGGCACACGAAGGUCCCUCCGGAACAGGUGGCCCGAGCCUGCCCGCCCCUCCGCAGCGCCCUCCCCCCCGGUGCCCAGGCGCCCCCGCCCGCCGCGCCCUGCGCGCAGCCCCCCGUACCUCUGGCUCCCGCGGCGGCGGGCGGCGCACCAGCGGGCCCCGCGGGCGGCGGUGGCGGCGGGAGAGCUCGGGAACAGAGGGCUGGAGCACCGCCCUCCAGCCCGGGGCGUGGUCAGCACCGCCCGCCGCCGCCCCGCUGGGUCCCGACUCCCCCACCAGCGCGCGGGCCAACAGGUAUGCCGCGCUCCCCGCGCCUCCCGCCGCCUGCUCCGUGGGUUCAUCAUCCCAAGCUCCCCAUUGAACGGAUGA